UCCGGGGCUUAGUGCCGGAGCUAACGCAAUAAGCACUCCGCCUGGGGAGUACGACCGCAAGGUUGAAACUCAAAGGAAUUGACGGGGGCCCGCACAAGCGGUGGAGCAUGUGGUUUAAUUCGAAGCAACGCGAAGAACCUUACCAGGUCUUGACAUCCCGAUGCUAUUCUUAGAGAUAGGAAGUUACUUCGGUACAUCGGAGACAGGUGGUGCAUGGUUGUCGUCAGCUCGUGUCGUGAGAUGUUGGGUUAAGUCCCGCAACGAGCGCAACCCUUAUUGUUAGUUGCCAUCAUUAAGUUGGGCACUCUAGCGAGACUGCCGGUAAUAAACCGGAGGAAGGUGGGGAUGACGUCAAAUCAUCAUGCCCCUUAUGACCUGGGCUACACACGUGCUACAAUGGUCGGUACAAUGAGUUGCGAGCCGGUGACGGCAAGCUAAUCUCUGAAAGCCGAUCUCAGUUCGGAUUGGAGGCUGCAACUCGCCUCCAUGAAGUCGGAAUCGCUAGUAAUCGCGGAUCAGCACGCCGCGGUGAAUACGUUCCCGGGCCUUGUACACACCGCCCGUCACACCACGAGAGUUUGUAACACCCGAAGUCGGUGAGGUAACCUUUUAGGGGCCAGCCG
rnacentral:rRNA from 1 species